UACUUGGAUAACCGUGGUAAUUCUAGAGCUAAUACAUGCUAAAAACCCCGACUCACGAAGGGGUGUAUUUAUUAGAUUAAAAACCAAUGCCCUUCGGGGCUCUUGGUGAUUCAUAAUAACUUUUCGAAUCGCAUGGCCUUGCGCCGGCGAUGGUUCAUUCAAAUUUCUGCCCUAUCAACUUUCGAUGGCAGGGUCUUGGCCUGCCAUGGUUACAACGGGUAACGGAGGGUUAGGGCUCGACCCCGGAGAAGGAGCCUGAGAAACGGCUACUACAUCCAAGGAAGGCAGCAGGCGCGCAAAUUACCCAAUCCCGAUUCGGGGAGGUAGUGACAAUAAAUACUGAUACAGGGCUCUUUUGGGUCUUGUAAUUGGAAUGAGUACAAUUUAAAUCCCUUAACGAGGAACAAUUGGAGGGCAAGUCUGGUGCCAGCAGCCGCGGUAAUUCCAGCUCCAAUAGCGUAUAUUAAAGUUGUUGCAGUUAAAAAGCUCGUAGUUGAACCUUGGGCCUGGCUGGCCGGUCCGCCUCACCGCGUGCACUGGUUCGGCCGGGCCUUUCCCUCUGGGGAACCUCAUGGUCUUCACUGAUCGUGAUGGGGAACCAGGACUUUUACUGUGAAAAAAUUAGAGUGUUCAAAGCAGGCCUAUGCUCGAAUACAUUAGCAUGGAAUAAUAAAAUAGGACGUGUGGUUCUAUUUUGUUGGUUUCUAGGACCGCCGUAAUGAUUAAUAGGGACAGUCGGGGGCAUCAGUAUUCAAUUGUCAGAGGUGAAAUUCUUGGAUUUAUUGAAGACUAACUACUGCGAAAGCAUUUGCCAAGGAUGUUUUCAUUAAUCAGGAACGAAAGUUAGGGGAUCGAAGACGAUCAGAUACCGUCGUAGUCUUAACCAUAAACUAUGCCGACUAGGGAUCGGACGGUGUUACUUAUUGACCCGUUCGGCACCUUACGAGAAAUCAAAGUC
rnacentral:rRNA from 1 species